AUUGUGGGCAGAAGGAUCCUCCUCGGAUCAUCACCGGGCCAUCACCAGUAACAAGCUGGCUGUGCUGCAAAGGCUGUGCACACAGGCAGGCUGUGGGGUAUGAUUAGGUCCUGCUUAGGGGCAGCAAAAUGAAGAAGAAGCCUUGGAAGACUCCAUGCUGACAGCUCGGCACUGAGAAGUGGAGGCUCUUGUAUCACAGAGCCUGGAAGAAUGCUGAAGAUCUGCCUGCAGGCAGGCGUGGUGCUGCCUCCUGGGAGACUAGCAGGAAGAUUUAUCACCUCCUUCCAGAGACUUGCAGCAAGGAGGAGUGUCCAAAUGUGUUUGGAGAAAACAGAUAAAAGAUUUGACCUCCAGUCUGUGCUAACAGCAGUGGGCACUGAACUAGAUGAUCUGACUGGCAAGCUGAAUUAACCUGACCACUAAGUGGAGGUGAUUAAAACCAGGGCUGGACAGACUUCCUUGCAGACAGCAAGGACACAGAUCACUCCAUUCCACAUGUCCCUGGCACACUAACAUUUGCCUCUGGAAGAACAGCUUUCAAAGCUGGACACAAAUCAAUCACCAUCUCUGUUUAUCUGCUAAGGCUUCAGCUGACAAAGCAAAAACCUUUUGAUUACAUUAGAAACAAAAACAGCAGCCCAGGGGGUUUUGUUUCUGUUUUGGUUGUUGGUUUGUUUUGGUGUUUUGCCAAGGAAAGCAUCUAUGUAGCAAACCACAGAAGAUGCUAAAAGAGAAAUAGCAAUCCAGUACCAUGCAGACCAAAGUGGUUCUUCUGCCUGUUUCUGCACUGGGUUUUCUGUCUCUCUUCCCAUCACCUGCACUCCUCUCCUCUACUGAAUGCAAAUGCAAAGAAGCUUAAAUCCAAUACAGAAAGUCACCAAGUUCAGGCAGAUUUGGAAUGAGGUGAAGAAAGCUCACCCAGGCUCACAGCCUAAUUCUGGCUUCAGUAAUUCUGAAAGCAAACAGAGCCUGCAUCCAUCAGGGGAGAGCCUGGAGCAGCCUCUGGCAGCAGGGAUAUGGAGCUGUACCCUCUCAAAUGCAGGGGGGUUAACAAACUUCUCUGAAACUGUCCUUUGGCUCUCUUCUGGCUGCCAGCUGAGACAGGGCAACACAAACCUCACAAACUACUAUUUCAAGUAUGUUUAUAGCAAUGUUGCAACAUCAUUAUUCCAACCACUCUUGUUAUGGCAGCCAAGCUGUUUACAGACAAAGAAAUGUUCCUGCAGCAAAAGGAAUCACAAAGAGCUGUACCAACAGUUUGUGAGCUGGAGUGGGACACAUCUACUGCUCAGACACACAGGACCAUCAGCCUGGAGUGGGACAAGAAGAAAGUCAUCUCUGAUAGUAACCAUCCUCCCCUCCUCCUAACUCACUGCUUCUUACCCCUCUGCAGUCUGUGGAGUACCAUAAACACACGUGACAGCUUCAGAGUUUUGGGUAGCUUUGUAAAAUAAAUCUCCAGCAGCUAUAGCUCUCAAAGCUCAGCCAGAGCUGUUGCUUCCAGCACAUUAUGCUCAUAACAAGGAUGGUAAUAGCUUUAGCCCUUUCCAUUGGUCCUUGCCCAUUUGGGGUCGUUUGGCUCUGCAUUUAAAUUCUGGUGGGGUUUUUGAAGUAUCACAAAAAUACAGAGAUAAGAAUUUACAGGGAAAACAUCACGUGAGCUGGCAGAGAAAGGAUUGGUUUUGACAAGCAUGUGGAUUGCAGAGGAGGGUAAUGGGUGAGGAGAUGGCACCGUCCUAGGAGAAAUGUCAUGGAAACAGAGGCAUUCCCACUAUGGGCACCAGCUGGCAAAUCCCAUCCUCUCUUUCAGGGCAAAGAAUUUUCACCCAAAGGAUUCAGUCCUUGCUUGAAAGCACUGUCCUGCUCUUUGUCCCGUGGGACUCGCAGGGGCUCCAUCCCAAAGAUGCUCACCCAUCAGGAGAUCUGGAGAGGGUGGCCAUGUCCUUGAAGACUCUGAUGUUUGCUGCUGCCAGCUAAACACGAGGCUGUGCUUUCCUUCAUGUUAUUUACAAGUUGUAGUAAGCUCUAACAGCUGAGGUAUCUGUGCUCUUCAGCUGAUGGCUUCAAGCGGAAGAGUCUGAAGUAAUCCAGCACAGACAGAGACAAGCCCUGAGUUACUGCAUCUAAGUCCAUACCUGGCAGGAGAAGGUGCAGCCUUCGGCAGAGGAACGCCUGCUUUCUGCUCCUCUAGGAGGAGGAGACUCAGUUCAGCACCUUUGCAGUCACAAGCAAAUGUCUUCUUAAGAGCUGCUCUCGUCUCUCCUUUCAGUUCAGGAAGCUUUCUCAUUCCUCUCCAGCAGCAGACACCUCUCACCCAGGAGUCUCGCAGGCUGUUCUCCCAGGGAUGAUGUCCCUCAGACGCAGUGGUGGAUGCCAGGUUCUCCUAACAAUGAGAGAGAGCUGAGUGUCUGCACACGGGUGUCACAGCUGCUAACCACGGCACGCAAGGCUCCAGCACACAGACCAGAGGGGACAGCGCUCAGGCACCAGAGCUCCUUGCAGUGUCACCGACAGCUGUGCUGCUGGGCAGGGACAGAGCUGCAGAGCUGAGCAGCCAGGGCUGCAGCUCCAGAGCUGGUGCUGAGCCUGCUCCCAGUGUAAAGCUUUCCAGUCACAGGAAUGCUGGAACAGCCUAAGGAUUGCUAAGUGGGUUAGUCAUUUUCUUCUGGUCACGACUUUCACUUGGGUUGUGCACAGAAACACAAUGUGGUGAUAUUCAUAAAAGGCAAAACCUCAGCUGUGCACAUUUGGGGGUUUCUUUCUCUGAGGUUAAAUGAUUAUAUUAAAUCCCCGUGAUUUUUUUA